UACGGAGGAUCCAAGCGUUAUCCGGAUUUAUUGGGUUUAAAGGGUGCGUAGGUGGCCUGGUAAGUCAGGGGUGAAAGACGGUAGCUUAACUAUCGCAGUGCCUUUGAUACUGUCGGGCUUGAAUAAACUAGAGGUAGGCGGAAUGUGACAAGUAGCGGUGAAAUGCAUAGAUAUGUCACAGAACACCGAUUGCGAAGGCAGCUUACUAUGGUUCCAUUGACACUGAGGCACGAAAGCGUGGGGAUCAAACAGG
rnacentral:rRNA from 1 species